rnacentral:rRNA from 1 species
CCCUUAGAUGUUCUGGGCCGCACGCGCGCUACACUGAUGCAUUCAACGAGUCUACAACCUGGUCUGAUAGGGCUGGGUAAUCUUUUGAAUGUGCAUCGUGAUUGGGAUAGAUGAUUGCAAUUCUUCAUCUUCAACGAGGAAUGCCUAGUAAGCGUGAUUCAUCAAAUCGCGUUGAUUACGUCCCUGCCCUUUGUACACACCGCCCGUCGCUCCUACCGAUUGAAUGUGUUGGUGAGGAGCUCGGAUUGGCAGCAGUUGGUGGUUCGCCACCGGCUAUUGCUGAGAAGUCCUCCAAACCGCCCCAUUUAGAGGAAGGAGAAGUCGUAACA